rnacentral:rRNA from 1 species
UACGUAGGGGGCAAGCGUUGUCCGGAAUCAUUGGGCGUAAAGCGCGUGUAGGCGGUUCGGUAAGUCGGCUGUGAAAGUCCAGGGCUCAACCCUGGGAUGCCGGUCGAUACUGCCGGACUAGAGUUCGGAAGAGGCGAGUGGAAUUCCCGGUGUAGCGGUGAAAUGCGCAGAUAUCGGGAGGAACACCAAUGGCGAAGGCAGCUCGCUGGGACGUUACUGACGCUGAGACGCGAAAAGCGUGGGGGAGCAAACAGG